UACAGAGGGGGCAAGCGUUGUUCGGAAUUACUGGGCGUAAAGGGCGCGUAGGCGGCCUUCUAAGUCGGACGUGAAAUCCCCAGGCUCAACCUGGGAACUGCGUCUGAUACUGGAUGGCUUGAAUCCGGGAGAGGGAUGCAGAAUUCCAGGUGUAGCGGUGAAAUGCGUAGAUAUCUGGAGGAAUACCGGUGGCGAAGGCGGCAUCCUGGACCGGCAUUGACGCUGAGGAGCGAAAGCCAGGGGAGCAAACGGG
rnacentral:rRNA from 1 species